rfam:Schistosoma haematobium scaffold1032_23, whole genome shotgun sequence.
UUACUGCUGAGUAGUCCCACAACAGGACGAAACGGCCGUCCAGUGC